GACGAACGCUGGCGGCGUGCUUAACACAUGCAAGUCGAACGGAAAGGCCCUGCUUUUGUGGGGUGCUCGAGUGGCGAACGGGUGAGUAACACGUGAGUAACCUGCCCUUGACUUUGGGAUAACUUCAGGAAACUGGGGCUCAUACCGGAUAGGAUCUCCUGCUGCAUGGUGGGGGAUGGAAAGUUUCGGCGGUUGGGGAUGGACUCGCGGCUUAUCCGCUUGUUGGUGGGGUAGUGGCUUACCAAGGCUUUGACGGGUAGCCGGCCUGGGAGGGUGACCGGCCACAUGGGGACUGAGGUACGGCGCAGACGCCUACGGGAGGCAGCAGUGGGAAAUAUGGCACAAUGGGCGGAAGCCUGAUGCAGCAACGCCGCGUGCGGGAUGACGGCCUUCGGGUUGUAAACCGCUGUCGCCUGUGACGAAGCGUGAGUGACGGUAAUGGGUAAAGAAGCACCGGCUAACUACGUG
rnacentral:rRNA from 1 species